GACCUUCUUCCCAGAGAACCUGAGCCCUCAACAUCGGGUGUGUCUCGUUCUGCUGAACCCUGCCCUGCAGAAAUAUCAUUUGAAGAUGACGGAGAGUGGCCAGGUGGCGAUAUAGGUACGAAUGAGGCCGAUACAGUACCAAACUCGCCGUACAGCUCCCCUAGUCGAUUGUCGACUAGUCUUAAU